UACGAAGGUGGCAAGCGUUGUUCGGAUUUACUGGGCGUACAGGGAGCGUAGGCGGUUGGAUAAGCCCUCCGUGAAAUCUCCAGGCUUAACCUGGAAAGUGCAGAGGGGACUGUUCAGCUAGAGGAUGGGAGAGGAGCGCGGAAUUCCCGGUGUAGCGGUGAAAUGCGUAGAGAUCGGGAGGAACACCUGCGGCGAAGGCGGGUUGCUGGGCUGACACUGACGCUGAUGCGCGAAAGCUAGGGGAGCGAACGGG
rnacentral:rRNA from 1 species